rnacentral:rRNA from 1 species
UCCAACCAUAUCUCCCUGCAGUUCUCACCUGGUUACCCACUGAAGCUAAGCAGGGUUGAGCCUGUCCAGUACCUGGAUGGGAGACUUCGUUGGGAAAACUAAGGUUACUAUUGAAA